UUCAAUUUCUUUCUGAGACCCUGACUGAGAAAGCUCUGUGGAGGGGCCCUGGCUGCAGAGUGAAGCCCACUCUUGACUUUCUUAACUUUGAUUCUGCCAAGGUUUCGGAACCCGAGACACGUGGUGGGAGUAAUUUCCUUGAUGUAUGAGCACGAGAGGGCACUGGAUGGAGAAACCCCCCUUCUUGCCUGUACCCUUUACCCUUCCAACCACGAGGCAACUGCACUUGUUUAGGUAUCCAAACUGUGGGUCUACUCUCCACAUUUUGGUUCACCCCAUUUAGCAAUGUUCUGGUAGCCCAAUCAUGCUCUCAGUUCUUAAAAACCGACUGACCAAGCCAAAGUGUACAUGGAAAAGAGACUAUAAGAGAGAAGUGUGAAAUGGAAGAAAAACCACCACCAUAAAGUAUACUACCUACCUGCAUAGCCUUGAAGACA